rnacentral:misc_RNA from 1 species
GCAUCGAUCGAUGGAUAGUAUGCGGAGUCGAGACUGAUGACCACGUUAAGUUAGAUUUUCGGCGAUUAUGCAAGAUGGAAGAAGUGAAGAGUCGCAAUGGGCCGAAAGUGUACGAAAAUAUGAACGGUUUCGAUGACAAAACACCGUUUCUUAUAGGAGUUGCCGGAGGGACGGCUUCUGGAAAGUCGACCGUAUGUCAGAAGAUUGUGGAGAAACUCGGGCAAGAUUCUAUAGAUCAACACCAUCGAAGAGUGGUGUGUAUAAGUCAGGACAGCUUUUAUAACGAAUUAACGGACGAAGACAAAGCUUUGGCGUUUAAAGGGAUGUACAACUUUGAUCAUCCCGAUGCAUUUGACAAUGAUCUGAUCUACAAGACGCUGAAGGACAUUUUAAAUGAAAAGAUUGUUCAAGUGCCAGUUUAUGACUUUAUCUCCAAUUCGAGAUUUUUUUUCAAUGGUACUAGGAAGAAAGACGAAUUCAUCACGAUCUAUCCGGCAGAUGUUGUGCUGUUCGAAGGAAUCCUUAUAUUUUAUUUCCAGAAGAUUAGAGACCUUUUCCAUAUGAAACUUUUUGUUGAUACUGAUCCAGAUACUAGGCUUUCCAGAAGAGUCUUAAGAGAUACAAGAGAGAGGGGGAGGGAACUGGAACAGAUUCUAAAUCAAUAUACUAAGUUUGUCAAGCCAGCUUUUGAAGAAUUUUGCUUGCCAUCUAAGAAAUAUGCCGAUGUUAUCAUUCCACGAGGUGCGGAUAAUGAAGUUGCUAUCGACCUUAUAGCGAAGAACAUCCAGGAACUGUUACGUCAAUCCCACAACGGACUGCCAUGUUGUCACCAGUGUAACUCGGAUGCGCUUGUUAACACGCCGUCUCGCUAGUGCUCCAUCCAGUCCUGCAUGUCCCAGAAUGUUUUUCUCCUAUUUUUUAUACUAAGUGCACUUGACGUUUGCUUUCAAUGUGUUUUUCACCUGCUAGUAAUUCUUUGGGUGUUAGCCUGUCAGAGCAAGUAAAUAUUGUUUUUGUUUGUUUAUUUUUAGAAAGACAAUCCCAUUAUCUUUCUUUCUGUGAUAUAUAAUUUACUAUUGUAUAACUCGUUGGUUUUUAGUGUUUUUUAUAUGUGCAAAUUUUGUAAUGUUAAUGUUAAAAAAAACUGGCAGAAAUUCCAGGUCGUCGGGCAAGACAGUCUGUGAUGCACAUUUUUUAUUUUAAACCCACUUAGCCAGAUUGGCUUAGUUACUUCAGAAAUUCAAUGAUUCUUUACACAAAUGCAAUGAAAUGUGGUUUAGAUAUUGGUAUGCAAGUGCCUUAUAUUAAAAUCCUUAUACUUAUACAUAAUUCUUUAUGUAUAAAUAUAGAUUUAUUUGUGGAAAAUCAGUUGAAAUCAUGUACUUUUUGUGAUAUGCUAAUUAAAAUCAAUUGCCAUCAAAUAUAAAAAAUAGUUUUUAUUUUAACAUACAUCCGUGUUGCAUAUUCAUUAAUUACAAAAUGAAGUUUAAGGGUAUUUUAAAAUAAGGAUCAUUGAAUUUUUAUUAGUAACGUAUGUACAAUAAAUUUUCUUAAUAAAUUCAGUUAACGUCAUUGACAAGAAUAGUUUCUGUAACUUAAUAUUGCUAUAGAUUUGAUUGUUCAGACGAUUCAGGACCUGCUUCGUUGUCCGAACAAGACCAUCAACAAUUUUCGACGCGAAAAGAGAGUCAGACACUUCUCGGAUUCCCAAACGAGCACUCGUCCACAUUGACCGCACG